rnacentral:rRNA from 1 species
GACGAACGCUGGCGGCGUGCUUAACACAUGCAAGUCGAACGGAAAGGCCCUGCUUUUGUGGGGUGCUCGAGUGGCGAACGGGUGAGUAACACGUGAGUAACCUGCCCUUGACUUUGGGAUAACUUCAGGAAACUGGUGCUAAUACCGGAUAGGAGCUCCUGCUGCAUGGUGGGGGUUGGAAAGUUUCGGCGGUUGGGGAUGGACUCGCGGCUUAUCAGCUUGUUGGUGGGGUAGUGGCUUACCAAGGCUUUGACGGGUAGCCGGCCUGAGAGGGUGACCGGCCACAUUGGGACUGAGGUACGGCCCAGACUCCUACGGGAGGCAGCAGUGGGGAAUAUUGCACAAUGGACGGAAGCGUGAUGCAGCAACGCCGCGUGCGGGAUGACGGCCUUCGGGUUGUAAACCGCUUUCGCCUGUGACGAAGCGUGAGUGACGGUAAUGGGUAAAGAAGCCCCGGCUAACUACGUG